GCUUAGUCUUAUUCAAACCAACACACUGUUCUAUAAGAGGUCCAGAGUUCAGAACACAGUACUCACCUCACCAACACCUGUAAUACCAGCUCUGAUGUCUCACUCCCUCAAAUUCCCUAGUUGUGUGAGUGCACACAUAUACCGAACACACAUGAAUAAAUAAGUCAAUAAAAAUAAUUGUGACUCCUUGGAUACUUUCUCUAGCUCCUCCAUUGGGGGCCCUGUGAUCCAUCCAAUAGUUGACUGUGAGCAUCCACUUCUGUGUUUGCUAGGCCCCGGCCUAGUCUCACAAGGGACAGCUAUAUCACGGUCCUUGCAACAAAGGCUUGCUAGUGUAUGCCAUGGUGUCAUCGUUUGGAGGCUAUUGGAAAUGUAAUUGAGGAAAAUACGUAAUAAAAAAAAAUAACUUAAAAAAAAAGAAUUGACUUCAAAGAGAGUUGUAGAAAUAAAAUAAUAAGCAUUAAUUAAUGAAAAUUUGAAAAAAAUAAUAACUGUGACUAUAGUGUAAUUUAUGAUUAUUUGAUUGUUUAUUCAUUUACCAUGGAUCCUAGUAAACACAUAAUCAUUAUGCAUAAGCUAAUCACUACUAUUAAUAUUAAAUAAUUAAAAGACACUGCUAAGUCACAUAAUUUCCAGUGCUAAAUAGUUAAAGAAUAAACUUAUACUAGAGUCAAACAUUAAGAAUUCUUUUAGGCUAUCUGGGACAUGGGUGAUGUGCCCAGUUUGUGCUACAAUAAAAUGUAAAAUUUUCUGACAGGCCAAUAUACUGCACAUUGUUAGUAUAGAGGGUUGCUUUUGAGGGAUAGUUGUGAAGUCCAAAAUUGGAUACUAUAGUAAUAAUUCUAGAAUAUCAUCAGUCUAGUUUAAAUUUUUUUUUUUAGUUGCUGAUUUAAUCAGAUGAUUUUUUUCCCAUGGAGUGUUAUAGCUCCCAUAUAUUUACAUAUUUGGAGUACGUACUUAUGAGUAUUGAAAGUUUAUCUGUGCAGCACCUGCAUCUAUUUUACAGUGCAUUUUUGAAUCACUUUUAACCUUUUUAGUUCAUUAUUAAGUGUAUCCUAAACAGCUGCUUAAAUGUAAGGUCUCAACUACAACAGAGGAAGCCACUUUGCUAGAGCUACCAAGUCAAGUCAUGCUUUUACAUGUCUAAGGCCGUCUCCUGCUGUAGCACUCAGUUUCAAUGCAGCCUAUUUCUCUCUGCUGCAUUCCACAAUUACUUCCGAAACAUGAAAGAUACAUGCAGAUAUCUCAUCAAGAAAACAUUAGUAAACUCUGAAUGUCCCCUCUUCAGUGCUCUUGGAACUAUUUUGUGGAUGUGAUACAAAUCAAAAGGAUCUAAUAUCUAGUUUGAAUUUGUAGCAAAUGUUGAAUUGGCAUCACUGGACACAGAGCAAAGGAUGCAAUUACAGUCCUUCUUUCCAUCACUGAAAGUCAGGUUAUUUGGCAAUUCUCCACAUCUUCCCUGUGCCCUAAUUCACUAGCCGUGUCUCCGGCACUGCGUUCUGUGUUCCCUUUGACAUUCAGCAUCCUUUGUCCAUUAUUCACUACGGCAUUACAGACUUCUCUGUGGAGAUGGUUACUUAUAAUUCCUUGUCUGCACCAAUCUCCAGGCCAAACAAGUCACACCGUUCUUAACUUACAAUUUAUAAUAAUCAAAAGAACUCUGUUUUACAGGCUAAUCUGAACUCCUAAAAUGUUUUCAAAUAGUAUUCCAGGUUUCCCUCAAUAUAGUCAAGAAAUUUAGAAGAUUACAGAAAUAUAUUUAAUUUUGCCAAAAAAAUCUCAAUAUUAGCAUUUAAAUAUUUAGAUGGAAUUUAUUAGCACCAUACAGACCCAAGUUCCCUCCAAGUUUUUUUGUAACCAUACUACAUGUUUGUUUUGUGCCUAUGCUAACAAGAAUACAUUAGGCCAAGUCUUCUAUUUCACACUAGCAGGUCUGAAGGACAAUUGGCACUCAGAAACAUGAGCAAAAUGCAUGGACAUGUCUUCAAGCUUCUCUUUGUACAUAUCAGACAAAAAAUUUAAUUAAGGCAAUGCUUCACAUGUUAAAAGCUAUUAAAUCUCCAAAACUUCUAAAAUAUGGCCAAUUAACCAGCCUGUGACUUCUUAAAAAGAAACCAAAGCACAUAUUUAAGGAAUCAUGCAAUUAUUCAGAAGGACCAUUGAGAGGAGCUGUGAUGCUUGGUCCUAGAUGUCAUGCACAAACUUUCGUAUGAAAUGGUCUAGCUCAUUGACACUUUCUACCUUGGUCUAAAAUAUUAGUUAUAGGAUGCCUACUAAGGGUAAGAGCUCAUAUUCCAAAUCUAUUAUUUAUUUAGUCUGAAAAAUCCUUAGAGUUUUUAAUUAACAUUUUAGAAGAAAAUAAUCAACGGUGUCCUUCAUUAUUCUUCUCCUCUCAAACUUGCUGUGUUUAACAAGACUUAAAGAAAAUGACAUAAUUAUGAAUAUGCUUGUGAAAAUUUACAGUUUUACUGGAACUAAGCUAGUAUUUUAAGAACCUGUGAACUGCCCAUUUUAAUAAAGGCUGAAGUAGCUAUUUAUAUAAAGCCAAAAAUUGUAUGU
rnacentral:lncRNA from 1 species